UACGUAGGUGGCAAGCGUUAUCCGGAAUUACUGGGCGUAAAGCGCACGCAGGCGGUCUUGUAAGUUUGACGUAAAAGCUCCCGGCUUAACUGGGAGAGGUCGUUGAAGACUGCAAGACUUGAGGAAAUGAGAGGGGUGUAGAAUUCCCGGUGUAGUGGUGGAAUGCGUAGAUAUCGGGGGGAAUACCAGUGGCGAAAGCGGCACCCUAGCAUUUUUCUGACGCUCAUGUGCGAAAGCGUGGGGAGCGAACGGG
rnacentral:rRNA from 1 species